rnacentral:rRNA from 1 species
ACGGGUGCGUAACACGUGAGUAAUCUGCCGAGAGGUGGGGGAUAGCUCGCCGAAGGGCGAAUUAAUACCGCAUGUGACUACCUCUUGAUUAAGGGGGAUGUUAAAGUAGCAAUACGCUUUUUGAUGAACUCGCGGCCUAUCAGCUAGAUGGCGGGGUAACGGCCCACCAUGGCUAUGACGGGUAGCUGGUCUGAGAGGACGACCAGCCACACUGGAACUGAGACACGGUCCAGACACCUACGGGUGGCAGCAGUCGAGAAUUUUUCACAAUGGGGGAAACCCUGAUGGAGCGACGCCGCGUGGAGGAUGAAGGCCCUCGGGUUGUAAACUCCUGUCAUGCGGGAACAAGAAAGUGAUAGUACCGCAAGAGGAAGAGACGGCUAACUCUGUGCCAGCAGCCGCGGUAAUACAGAGGUCUCAAGCGUUGUUCGGAUUCAUUGGGCGUAAAGGGUGCGUAGGUGGCGAUGCAAGUCUGGUGUGAAAUCUCAGGGCUUAACCUUGAAAAUGCACCGGAUACUGCGUUGCUUGAGGAUUGUAGAGGAGAGUGGAAUUCACGGU